rnacentral:rRNA from 1 species
UAUGGCUCAGGAUGAACGCUAGCUACAGGCUUAACACAUGCAAGUCGAGGGGCAGCAUGGAGUCAGCUUGCUGACUUGAUGGCGACCGGCGCACGGGUGCGUAACACGUAUCCAAUCUGCCCGUUACUCAGGGAUAGCCUUUCGAAAGAAAGAUUAAUACCUGAUGGUUUCAUCAUUCCGCAUGGGUUGAUGAAUAAAGAUUCAUCGGUAACGGAUGAGGAUGCGUCCGAUUAGCUUGUUGGCGGGGUAACGGCCCACCAAGGCGACGAUCGGUAGGGGCUCUGAGAGGAGGAUCCCCCACACUGGAACUGAGACACGGUCCAGACUCCUACGGGAGGCAGCAGUGAGGAAUAUUGGUCAAUGGGCGGGAGCCUGAAACCCAGCCAAGUAGCGUGAGGGACGACUGCCCUAUGGGUUGUAAACCUCUUUUGUUUGGGAAUAAAGUACCCCACGUGUGGGGUUUUGUAUGUACCUUACGAAUAAGCAUCGGCUAAUUCCGUGCCAGCCGCCGC